AAUUAAAAAGGCAAAAAUGUAAAGGAGUCAAAACUGUAAAUCAAGUAUUUGGGAAGUGAAGACUGGAAGCUAAUUUGCAUUAAAUUCACAAAAACUUUUAUAGUCUUUCUGUAUAUACUUUUUUUUUCCUUAAAAAACAACUAUGAAUCAGAAUAGCUAUAUUUGGAACACUUUUUGUUAUCAGUGAAUAUUUUUAGAUAGUUAGAACCUGGUCCUAAGCCUAAAAGUGGGCUUGAUUCUGCAGUAAAUCUUUUACAACUGCCUCGACACACAGAAACCUUUUUAAAAACAGACACUCCCCGAAG
rnacentral:lncRNA from 1 species